CUGCGCCCGAGAGCUGGGGCUCCGCGGCGCUCGCUGUGAGGAGCCCCUGCGGCGGUGGGUGCCGGGCAGUCGGUGACCGAGAGCCGCGGUCCGCGGAGGACCGCGCCGACCCGUGUGGUUGUGGAUAGCGUCCCAGGAAAACUGGCUAGGACCUCCAGUACAAUGCUGAAGAGACCUAAUGACAGCAGAUGUCUUUGUUCUGUUUCCAAUCUUGUAAAGUCAGCUAAGUAACUGGCUGAUACAUAAUCAACCAUCAGAUAGACAAAGCUGUCAGAAAAAAUAUGAGUUAAGGAAAGGCAAGGAAGACAUCCAGAUGGCCAAGAGACACAUGGAAAAAUGUUCAACAUCACUUGGCAUUAGGGAAAUACAAAUCAAAACCACAAUGAGAUACCACCUCAUGGCAGUCAGAAUGGCUAACAUUAAGUCAGGAAAUGACAGAUGCUGGCGAGGAUGCGGAGAAAGGGGAACCCUCCUACACUGUUGGUGGGAAUGCAAGCUGGUGCAGCCACUCUGGAAAACAGCAUGGAGGUUCCUCACAACGUUGAAACUAGAGCUACCCUAUAACCCAGCAAUCGCACUCCUGGGUAUGUACCGCAAAGAUACAAAUGUAGUGAUCUGAAGGGGCACUUGCACCCCAAUGUUUAUAGCAGCCAUAUCCACAGUAGCCACACUAUGGAAGAAGCUGAGAUGUCCAUCAACAGAUGAACAGAUAAAGAAGAUGUGGUAUGUAUCUACGAUGGAAUACUAUGCAGCCAUCAAAAAUCUGAAAUCUUGCCAUCUGUAGGAUGGAACUAUAGGGUUAUUAUGCUAAGUGAAAUAGGUCAGUCAGAGAAAGACAACUACCAUAUGAUUUCAAUGAUAUGUGGAAUUUAAGGAACAGAGGAUCAAAGGGGAAGAGAGGAAAAAAUAAAACAAGGCAAAGUCAGAGAAGGACAAGCUAUAAGAGACUCUUAAUCACAGGAAACAAACAGAGGGUUGUUGGAGGGGAGGUGGGUGGAGGGAUGGGGUGAUGGGGGGAUGGACAUAAAGGAGGGCGUGUGAUGUGAUGAGCACGGGCUUUUAUAUAAGGUGGAUGAAUCACUGACCUCGACCUGUGAAACCAAUCGUACAUUAUAUGUUAAUUAACUGAAUUUAAAUAAAAAAUAAAUAAGCUUAAGAAAAUAAAGGAAAGGCAAUCAUCCAUUCAUUUAUGUGUUUAGUAUGUGCUCCUGUUUACUAGGUCCUAUUCAGUGUACACAGUUGAACAGAAAUGUGUAUUCCCGUGGACUACGCAACAGAAGGGAAAAGAGAAGAGUCAGCAAAAUAAGUAGACAACACAUUAAGAGCCAGUUCUGCCACCAGACUGAUGGGAUUCUCAGUUCUUCUUGAAGCUACUGUUUGUUUGUUUUUCCUCCCAAACAGAGCCCUCAAGGUCACCCCUCAGACCCCGAGAUGCCUUGUACUAUCCAGUUCUCACCUCCUGGAUAAAUUAGAAGUUUUUUCUCACUUUACUCUCACUUUAAAGGCCUCUUACUUCUUUUUUUCUUAAAAAAAGAUUUUACUUACUUAUUUGAGAGAAAGAGAACACAUCAGGGGGAGGGACAGAAGGAGCAGACUCACCACUGAGCAAGGUGCCUGAUUUGGGGAUGUGGGACUCGAUUCCAGGACCCUGGAAUCAUGACCUGUGGCGAAGGCAGAUGCUUAACCAAGUGAGCCACCCAGGCACCCCAGCCAGAGUUCCAAUAUUGCCAAACAUGAGAAAAAAUACUGGAUAGAGACCCUAUGAAUGUAGCCUGUGUGGGAAAGCCUUCAGCCAGAGUUGACACCCUAUCACACAUCAGACAACCUAUACCAGAGAAAAACCAUACCAAAGUGGUGAAUGUGGCAAAAUCUUUACCCAGAGCACAAGUCUCACCAAAAAUCAGAAGACCGCCCACUGCAGAAAGACCUUACGGACAUAAUCAGUCUGCAAAAGCUAGCAUACAAUCCUUUUUAAAAUAAAGACUUAUUUAUUUUAUUUUUUAAAGAUUUUUAUUUAUUUGCCAGAGAUAGAGAGAGAGAGUACACACAA